UAUUUUUUAAGUAAAACAUUAAUAUAUUAUUUAUCUUCUGUAUUUGUACAAAGUUGUUUUUUGAGAUGAAGAAAUGAUGGAGGAAAAUGAGGGAUAAAGGACGGGUGGGAUAUCUUCCGAUACCUUCGAGAAAUCAUCAAAGCUAUCAGAGAACCAUAUUUUAGCGAGAGGUGGUAACGCGAAUCUGAAUUCAAAUCUGAAAUUUCGCGCUCUUUAGGAGAUUAUAAUUUGGAGGAGGAUACCCUCGGGCUCAUUAGUGCCUUAAUAUAUGAAUUUAUGCACGUACCAAAGCAUGAAGCAUAUGUUUGCAUUUUCCAACACAUUCCAACAUAUUCUCCAACGAGCGUCUAUGUUUACGCAAUCACGCAAAAAUUAAAAAAUAACAAAUUACAUUCGCGUACAACUGGCGGGCGCUGGGGAAUGCUACGAUCAAUCUAGUAAACUCAUUAGUGAGUUCACCGCAACCGAUGUGUUAAUUUCUCAUUUAUAUAAUUAUAAGUUAUACAAUUACAAGCGUUCAAUUACAAUCGAUAAUAAAAGCUUUCCUUAAGUUUUUUUCAAGAUUGAGUUCUAAAUUUUCAUUUUUGUAAUGAAGCGAGUUGACUUCUCGCAAAUUGAACGCCGGUCUAUGAUAGUUUACACACGCGAUGGAGCGUACGGUCUCGGGGAGAAUGUAUUGUAUUUGUAGGAGUACGCGAUGUAUAAUCGCGUGCAUGCGAGUAUCGGAAAGAACAGAGGAGGGAGGAUGCAAUUGAGUGAUGAAUGCAUCGGUUGGGAUGCAUGCUCACCUAGUUACGCCAUCGGCGCGUAACAUAGAUGGAGAUUCAUCGUUCCGCUGUUCUAAUUCAGGUACUGGGGUAUCCUUAAAUAGCAAAGUCUAUUUACAGACAUUACAAUUCAAAAUUUUAUUGAAGAUGAAGAUGAGAUUACGUUCAGUCUAGUAAUAAUUGGAUGUAAUACCAACAUUUCUUUUAUUUCACAUUAUCCUUUUAUUUCACAUUAACAUGUUUUUUUAAGAAUUUUCAAAAUUCCGUAAAUCUUUCCUCGUUUACGAUAUUGCUUUGUUUAAAUACACUAAAAAAAAAAAAUAAGUUUAUUAAAUGUUGGCUUCUUAAUCUUAAGCUUUUCAAGAUGUUACCAGGUUUCCCUCAAUGAUUAAAAUGUAUAAACGGAAGGGGAGUCUUUACACACGAUAAUCCCAAUAUAAGGCUCUCGAUUUUUCAAAAAUAGAGAGCAGGAACAUCAUUUCGUAAAAAUUAUAACUAUAAUGAAAUUAAAAACGAGUUUCAUCCACAGACAAAAAAAUUUGUCAGAGACCAAGACUCUUUUAGGACGGCAAUACUGUCAAAUAAUACUGCAAUUCAUAAUUCGAAAA